AGCGGAGGAAAAGAAACUAACAAGGAUUCCCCUAGUUAUACGGCGAGCGAACCGGGAAGAGCCCAACUUGAAAAUCUGGCAGCUUCGCUGUCCGAAUUGUAGUCUAAAGAAGCGUCCUCUGUAGCGGACCGGGCCCAAGUUCCCUGGAAUGGGACGUCAGAGAGGGUGAGAGCCCCGUCGACCCCGGACCCUGCUACUCCACGAGGCGCUGUCGCCGAGUCGGGUUGUUUGGGAAUGCAGCCCUAAAUGGGUGGUAAAUUCCAUCUAAGGCUAAAUACUGGCGAGAGACCGAUAGCGAACAAGUACCGCGAGGGAAAGAUGAAAAGAACUUUGAAAAGAGAGUUAAAAGUGCUUGAAAUUGUUGAGGGGGAAGCGAAUGGAAGCAGAGGUGCGCCUCGGUUUUAUGUGGGGGUUCGCGCCCCCGCCUAUCAACGCGAGGCGCUGGUCAGCGUGGGUUAGCCUGGCGGGAAAAAAGCAGGGGUUGUUACCCUGUCCAUAUCGCCGGGCUGACCGAGGUCUGAAGGGCGCGCUUCGGCGAGCUUCGGCAUCUGCGCCCUCAGGACGCUGGCUCAAUGCUUCCAUCCGGCCCGUCUUGAAACACGGACCAAGGAGUCUAACAUGUAUGCGAGCCGGUGGGUGGCAAACCCAUGAGGCGCAAGUAACCUGAUUGGUGGGAUUCCUUUUGGAUGCACCAUCGACCGACCAUGAUCUUCUGUGAAAGGUUUGAGUAGGAGUAUACCUGUUGGGACCCGAAAGAUGGUGAACUAUGCCUGAGCAGGGCGAAGCCAGAGGAAACUCUGGUGGAGGCUCGUAGCGAUACUGACGUGCAAAUCGUUCGUCAGACUUGGGUAUAGGGGCGAAAGACUAAUCGAACCUUCUAGUA
rnacentral:rRNA from 1 species